GACGAACGCUGGCGGCGUGCUUAACACAUGCAAGUCGAACGGAAAGGCCCCCUUGUGGGGUACUCGAGUGGCGAACGGGUGAGUAACACGUGAGUAACCUACCCUUGACUUUGGGAUAACUUCAGGAAACUGGGGCUAAUACCGGAUAGGAGCUCCUGCUGCAUGGUGGGGGUUGGAAAGUUUCGGCGGUUGGGGAUGGACUCGCGGCUUAUCAGCUUGUUGGUGGGGUAGUGGCUCACCAAGGCUUUGACGGGUAGCCGGCCUGAGAGGGUGACCGGCCACAUUGGGACUGAGAUACGGCCCAGACUCCUACGGGAGGCAGCAGUGGGGAAUAUUGCACAAUGGGCGGAAGCCUGAUGCAGCAACGCCGCGUGCGGGAUGACGGCCUUCGGGUUGUAAACCGCUUUCGCCUGUGACGAAGCGUGAGCGACGGUAAUGGGUAAAGAAGCACCGGCUAACUACGU
rnacentral:rRNA from 1 species